rnacentral:rRNA from 1 species
UACGAAGGGGGCUAGCGUUGCUCGGAAUCACUGGGCGUAAAGGGUGCGUAGGCGGGUCUUUAAGUCAGGGGUGAAAUCCUGGGAGCUCAACUCCAGAACUGCCUUUGAUACUGAGGAUCUUGAGUUCGGGAGAGGGUGAGUGGAACUGCGAGUGUAGAGGUGAAAUUCGUAGAUAUUCGCAAGAACACCAGUGGCGAAGGCGGACUCGACUGGCCCGAGUACCU